rnacentral:rRNA from 1 species
UGAGGAAUAUUGGUCAAUGGACGAGAGUCUGAACCAGCCAAAUCGCGUGAAGGAAGACUGCCCUACGGGUUGUAAACUUCUUUUGUACAGGAAUAAAAGACAUUACGUGUAAUGUAUUGCAUGUACUGUACGAAUAAGCAUCGGCUAACUCCGUGCCAGCAGCCGCGGUAAUACGGAGGAUGCGAGCGUUAUCCGGAUUUAUUGGGUUUAAAGGGUGCGCAGGCGGGAUUUUAAGUCAGCGGUGAAAUUUUCAGGCUCAACCUGAACACUGCCGUUGAAACUGGGAUUCUUGAGUAUGGAUGAAGUAGGCGGAAUGCGUGGGGUAGCGGUGAAAUGCUUAGAUAUCACGAAGAACUCCGAGUGCGAAGGCAGCUUACCGGGGUACAACUGACGCUGAUGCACGAAAGUGUGGGUAUCAAACA